AGAGUUUGAUUCCUGGCUCAGGACGAACGCUGGCGGCGUGCUUAACACAUGCAAGUCGAACGAUGAUGCCCAGCUUGCUGGGCGGAUUAGUGGCGAACGGGUGAGUAAUACGUGAGUAACCUGCCCUUGACUCUGGGAUAAGCCUGGGAAACUGGGUCUAAUACUGGAUACUACCUCUUGCCGCAUGGUGGGUGGUGGAAAGGGUUUUACUGGUUUUGGAUGGGCUCACGGCCUAUCAGCUUGUUGGUGGGGUAAUGGCUCACCAAGGCGACGACGGGUAGCCGGCCUGAGAGGGUGACCGGCCACACUGGGACUGAGACACGGCCCAGACUCCUACGGGAGGCAGCAGUGGGGAAUAUUGCACAAUGGGCGGAAGCCUGAUGCAGCGACGCCGCGUGAGGGAUGACGGCCUUCGGGUUGUAAACCUNUUUCAGUAGGGAAGAAGCAGAGUGACGGUACCUGCASAANAACCGCCGGCUAACUACGUGCCAGCAGCCGCGGUAAUACGUUAGGGCCGCAAGCGUUGUCCCGGAAWUUA
rnacentral:rRNA from 1 species